rnacentral:rRNA from 1 species
GUGGGGAAUCUUGCACAAUGGGCGAAAGCCUGAUGCAGCGACGCCGCGUGGGGGAUGAAGCUUCUCGGAGUGUAAACCCCUUUCGAUCCGGACGAAUGCCUCGCAAGAGGAGUGACGGUACGGAUAUAAGAAGCCCCGGCUAACUACGUGCCAGCAGCCGCGGUAAUACGUAGGGGGCCAGCGUUGUUCGGAAUUACUGGGUGUAAAGGGUUCGUAGGCGGUGUGGCAAGUUGGGAGUGAAAUCUCUGGGCUCAACCCAGAGACGGCUUCCAAAACUGCCGUGCUUGAGUGUGGGAGAGGCUCGUGGAAUUGCAGGUGUAGCGGUGAAAUGCGUAGAUAUCUGCAGGAACACCCGUGGCGAAAGCGGCGAGCUGGACCACUACUGACGCUGAAGAACGAAAGCUAGGGGAGCAAACAGGAUUAGAUACCCUAGUAGUCC